rnacentral:rRNA from 1 species
UGCAGUCGAACGGUAACAGAAAGAAGCUUGCUUGCUUUGCUGACGAGUGGCGGACGGGUGAGUAAUGUCUGGGAAACUGCCUGAUGGAGGGGGAUAACUACUGGAAACGGUAGCUAAUACCGCAUAACGUCGCAAGACCAAAGAGGGGGACCUUCGGGCCUCUUGCCAUCGGAUGUGCCCAGAUGGGAUUAGCUAGUAGGUGGGGUAACGGCUCACCUAGGCGACGAUCCCUAGCUGGUCUGAGAGGAUGACCAGCCACACUGGAACUGAGACACGGUCCAGACUCCUACGGGAGGCAGCAGUGGGGAAUAUUGCACAAUGGGCGCAAGCCUGAUGCAGCCAUGCCGCGUGUAUGAAGAAGGCCUUCGGGUUGUAAAGUACUUUCAGCGGGGAGGAAGGGAGUAAAGUUAAUACCUUUGCUCAUUGACGUUACCCGCAGAAGAAGCACCGGCUAACUCCGU